UGCUAGUUUUUGUAGUAAUACAAAGCAUACGGCUCAGUAACGCGUAGUCAACCUACCCUAUGGACGGGGAUAAUCUCGGGAAACUGAGCAUAAUACCCGGCAGACCACUUAUCCUGGAAUGGUUAGUGGUUAAAAUGAUUCGUCGCCAUAGGAUGGGACUGCGGCCUAUCAGCUUGUUGGUGAGGUAAUGGCCCACCAAGGCGAUUACAGGUACGGGCUCUGAGAGGAGAGGCCCGGAGAUGGGUACUGAGACAAGGACCCAGGCCCUAUGGGGCGCAGCAGGCGAGAAAACUUUGCAAUGUGCGAAAGCACGACAAGGUUAAUCCGAGUGAUUUCUGCUAAAGGAAUCUUUUGUUAGUUCUAAAAAUACUAGUGAAUAAGGGGUGGGCAAGUUCUGGUGUCAGCCGCCGCGGUAAAACCAGCACCUCAAGUGGUCAGGAGGAUUAUUGGGCCUAAAGCAUCCGUAGCCUGUUCUGUAAGUUUGCGGUUAAAUCUAUACGCUCAACGUAUAGGCUGCCGUAAAUACUGUAGAACUAGGGAGUGGGAGAGGUAGACGGUACUCGAUAGGAAGGGGUAAAAUCCUUUGAUCUAUU
rnacentral:rRNA from 1 species